UGGGAACCGAUUCUGCUAUCGCCACAACAAUACUUGUCGUAUAUGUGGGAGUUCCCAACGUUACACGAGAGAGUGCCUGAGGAAUCAGAACUAGACCAGACCUCCUAUCUAGGACAAGGCUUACAACCUCACUCAAUAAGAUGUAAAAUCUAACCCAAACGUGAUACAGGGUACGUACACUAUCUGUAAUCAUAUUGCAUAUGUU
rnacentral:lncRNA from 1 species